UACGGAGGGGGCUAGCGUUGUUCGGAAUCACUGGGCGUAAAGCGCGUGUAGGCGGCUAAGUAAGUCGGGCGUGAAAUCCCACGGCUCAACCGUGGAAGUGCACUCGAAACUGCAUAGCUAGAGUCCUGGAGAGGAAGGUGGAAUGCUUGGUGUAGAGGUGAAAUUCGUAGAUAUCAAGCGGAACACCGGUGGCGAAGGCGGCCUUCUGGACAGUGACUGACGCUGAGACGCGAAAGCGUGGGGAGCAAACAGG
rnacentral:rRNA from 1 species